UAAGUAGGUAGUUUUAAAAGUUUUAAUAUAUAAUCAAGGCUUAACUUUGAAAAUUUUAGAAAGACUUUAAAUCUUUGUGAUAUAUGGAGGAUAACGUUGUAAUUUCAGUGUAGAGGUGAAAUUCUUAAAUAUUGAAAAGACAUUCAAUUGGCGAAAGCAACAGUCUAUGUAAAUCUGACACUGAAUUACGUAAGCAUAGGUAUCAAACA
rnacentral:rRNA from 1 species